GACGAACGCUGGCGGCGUGCCUAAUACAUGCAAGUCGAGCGGACUUUCAAGAAGCUUGCUUUUUAAAAGUUAGCGGCGGACGGGUGAGUAACACGUGGGCAACCUGCCUGCAAGACGGGGAUAACUCCGGGAAACCGGGGCUAAUACCGGAUAAUAUCUUCCUUCGCAUGAAGGAAGGUUGAAAGGCGGCGCAAGCUGCCGCUUGCAGAUGGGCCCGCGGCGCAUUAGCUAGUUGGUGAGGUAACGGCUCACCAAGGCGACGAUGCGUAGCCGGCCUGAGAGGGAGAUCGGCCACACUGGGACUGAGACACGGCCCAGACUCCUACGGGAGGCAGCAAUAGGGAAUCUUCCGCAAAGGACGAAAGUCAGACGGAGCAACGCCGCGGGAGCGAAGAAGGGCUUCGGAUCGUAAAGGUCUGUUGUCAGGGAAGAACAAGUACCGUUCGAACAGGGCGGUACCUUGACGGUACCUGACCAGAAAGCCACGGCUAACUACGUG
rnacentral:rRNA from 1 species